AAUAUUGGUCAAUGGACGCAAGUCUGAACCAGCCAUGCCGCGUGGAGGAUGACUGCCCUCUGGGUUGUAAACUCCUUUUAUCUGGGAAGAAAUGCAGACUUUCUAGUCUGUUUGACGGUACCAGAGGAAUAAGCACCGGCUAACUCCGUGCCAGCAGCCGCGGUAAUACGGAGGGUGCAAGCGUUAUCCGGAUUCACUGGGUUUAAAGGGUGCGUAGGUGGAAUGGUAAGUCAGUGGUGAAAUCUCCAAGCUUAACUUGGAAACUGCCGUUGAUGCUAUCAUUCUUGAAAAUCGUGGAGGUGAGCGGAAUAUGUUAUGUAGCGGUGAAAUGCUUAGAUAUGACAUAGAACACCGAUUGCGAAGGCAGCUCACUACGCGGUCAUUGACACUGAGGCACGAAAGCGUGGGGAUCAAACAGG
rnacentral:rRNA from 1 species